GGGUAGCAGGCCAAAGCAGCAAGCUUUCACAACAAGCUCUGAAGCCCAGAAGCCUUGAAGCUGCCGGAGCAAGGCUGGAGCAGGCAGAAGCGGUGAGCCACCAGGAAACUGUGGACAGGCAACACCCAGGGCGGGAUCCUGAUAACUCUGAACCUGAUAUGGCUCCAACAUAUUGAUUAAAACCCAAUGAGGCAAAGAGAAGAGAGUAAUUGGAACCUCAUCUCCUUACACGGAUACAGUAUCUCAUAGUCCA